AGCUAUAAGUUUUUUAUUUAUAGUUUAACCUGCCCAAUGUUUAAUGAAUUAAUGGCCGCGGUACCCUGACCGUGCUAAGGUAGCGUAAUUAGUUGGCUUUUAAAUGGAGUCAGGAAUGAAUGGGAUAACCGGGUCUAACUGUCUCUAGGCUAUUUUAUCGAAUUUACUUUUCAAGUGAAAAAGCUUGAGAAUAGAAAAGGGACGAGAAGACCCUUAGAAUUUUUAUUUAAAUUAGGCUAAGUAUAUAAAUUUAUGCCUAUAAUAAUUUUGUUGGGGCGACAAAAAAAUAUAUACUAACUUUUUUUGAUCUACACGUCGAAUUUUUUAGGGAAGAAUAAAUUACCUGAGGGAUAACAGCAUAAUUUUAAAAAUAAGUUUGUGACCUCGAUGUUGGACUAGGAAACUAGCAAGCUAGCCGUUUGUUGUGUUGGUUCUGUUCGAACUUUAAUUCCUACAUGAU
rnacentral:rRNA from 1 species